ACCUGGCUGGCUCAGUCAGUAGAGCAUGGGACUCUUGAUCUCAGGGUUGUAAGUCCAUGCCCUAUGCUGGGUG
rnacentral:tRNA from 1 species